CCGCUGAACUUAAGCAUAUCAAUAAGCGGAGGAAAAGAAACCAACAGGGAUUGCCCCAGUAACGGCGAGUGAAGCGGCAACAGCUCAAAUUUGAAAUCUGGCCUCGGCCCGAGUUGUAAUUUGUAGAGGAAGCUUCUGGUGCGGCGCCGUCCGAGUCUCCUGGAACGGAGCGCCAUAGAGGGUGAGAGCCCCGUAUGGACGGAUGCCAAACCUGUGUGAAGCUCCUUCGACGAGUCGAGUAGUUUGGGAAUGCUGCUCUAAAUGGGAGGUAAAUUCCUUCUAAAGCUAAAUAUUGGCCAGAGACCGAUAGCGCACAAGUAGAGUGAUCGAAAGAUGAAAAGCACUUUGAAAAGAGGGUUAAACAGCACGUGAAAUUGUUGAAAGGGAAGCGCUUGUGACCAGACUUGAGCGCGGCGGAUCAUCCGGUGUUCUCACCGGUGCACUCCGCCGUGCCCAGGCCAGCAUCGGUUUCCGCGGGGGGACAAAGGUCCCGGGAACGUAGCUCCUCCGGGAGUGUUAUAGCCCGGGGCGUAAUGCCCUCGUGGGGACCGAGGACCGCGCAUCUGCAAGGAUGCUGGCGUAAUGGUCAUCAGCGACCCGUCUUGAAACACGGACCAAGGAGUCAAGGUUUUGCGCGAGUGUUUGGGUGUUAAACCCGCACGCGUAAUGAAAGUGAACGUAGGUGAGAGCUUCGGCGCAUCAUCGACCGAUCCUGAUGUAUUCGGAUGGAUUUGAGUAGGAGCGUUAAGCCUUGGACCCGAAAGAUGGUGAACUAUGCUUGGAUAGGGUGAAGCCAGAGGAAACUCUGGUGGAGGCUCGCAGCGGUUCUGACGUGCAAAUCGAUCGUCAAAUCUGAGCAUGGGGGCGAAAGACUAAUCGAACCAUCUAGUAGCUGGUUACCGCCGAAGUUUCCCUCAGGAUAGCAGUGUUGAUUCUCAGUUUUAUGAGGUAAAGCGAAUGAUUAGGGACUCGGGGGCGCUUUAUAGCCUUCAUCCAUUCUCAAACUUUAAAUAUGUAAGAAGCCCUUGUUACUUAAUUGAACGUGGGCAUUCGAAUGUACCAACACUAGUGGGCCAUUUUUGGUAAGCAGAACUGGCGAUGCGGGAUGAACCGAACGCGAGGUUAAGGUGCCGGAGUGGACGCUCAUCAGACACCACAAAAGGCGUUAGUACAUCUUGACAGCAGGACGGUGGCCAUGGAAGUCGGAAUCCGCUAAGGACUGUGUAACAACUCACCUGCCGAAUGUACUAGCCCUGAAAAUGGAUGGCGCUCAAGCGUCCCACCCAUACCUCGCCCUCAGGGUAGAAACGAUGCCCUGAGGAGUAGGCGGCCGUGGGGGUCAGUGACGAAGCCUAGGGCGUGAGCCCG
rnacentral:rRNA from 1 species